AUCCUUUGACAUCAGCACAGCUUUGAAAGGGGGAUGGGAGAGCGAGGAGAAAGCAGAAAAACCAGCUUUGAACUAUGCAUGCAAGGCCUCUUUCAAGCCUCAAAUUCUAGCUGACAAGACACUGCUGGAUUCCAUAGCUGGCCAGGAGAUGAUGUGAUUUCUGACACAUGUGGGCAGUGGGCACGCACCACCUGAGCAGCCUGCUGGCCUCACACCUGCCCUGGCUUCGCUGCCAUCUGAACAGCAGAAUUAAUUUUUUUUUUUUUUUAAAGAGCACGUGCUUUCAGUUGGGUAACAGGAAUUUAGAUCUUAGCUGCCCUCUUGCCUCUGGGCCUUCACUGCUGACCUGUGGGUUGUCUGUCUGGAGGGGACGGCCACCGAUCACCAACGACCACUACGAAGCAGUGUUGAUGGCUCUCACUGCCACAUACCCCAGCCUCGUCCUCCUCCUCCGAGUGAUGCCAGAUGAACUCAGACACAAUUAGGAACGAGGCGUUCAGUGGCUCAGGAAGGAGCCCAGGAGCAGAUGCUUAUUGAAGAUCUGGGCUUUAAAGAGACAGAGAACUGCUCGCCAAUGAUUUAAUAUUUCAUAUGAGAUAAGAUGAAAAAAUGUGCCUAGCCUAUGACUGUGCUGAUGAGUGGAAUACAGAAAUAAGGGGGAAAGGCUCCUGAGAGCUUUAUAUCUAAUAUACGGAAUAGCAGUCCAAGAAAGGGAAGACACUUUUUGAUGUAUUUUUCCUAAUGAUCUCAGAUCAAAGGAUCUCGCCUUUAUUAGUGAUUUACCCCACGCUCUUUUGAAACCCUAUGCAUGUAAGUAGUUCUUUAAAGAAUUCCAAGGCUGAUCUGGCCAUCACUGAUAAAACAGACUCUAAGAUAGAAAUAAUAAACAAAUAAUAUGAGGGAAGAAAAGAAGACUUGAAUAAAGGUAAGGUAUACUUCUGAAUUGGAAAUAUAAAAAUAUAAAUACUGCAGCUAUGCUGAUAAUUUUCCCCCAAACUGAUCUACAGGUUUAAAGUAUUUCCAAUUAAAAUUCUGGUGGGCCUCUAUUUUUCCAGGUACUUAGCAAAAGUAUUCGAAAGUUCACCUGCAAAAACUAAAAGAACAAGAAGAAUGAGAACACUACUAAUGAGAAAGGCUAGUCCUACCAACUGUAAAGCUGUAUGAAUUAAUGACAGUGUGAUGGGGCAAAAGAGGCAGAUUAAUGGAACAGAAGCCACAGCCCCAAACUGAGAAAUAUAUUGACACAAAUGUAAUAUAAUAAAGAGUGUAUCUCAAAUCAGUGGAAGGGGAAGAAUUAGAUAAUUGCUUGGCAAUCUUGGGGCAGACAACUGAUUAACUAUAUGCAGAAAAAAGUCAAAGUGUUUUCACAUCACACCAAAAUAAAAUUUGAGAUGGCUUAAACAGUUAAAUAAAAAUCAAUCAAAACCACCACCCCCAAAUCCCUAUAACUUUUAGAAGAAAGGGAAAGUGAAUAAUCAAUUCUCAAGCAAAAAAAGAACAUUUAAAUACUUCUGAACAAACCCCUCAGGAAUAGUGCUCAUAGUAAAAAUGACAAAUUUCUGUGGUUUGUUUUUUUGGAGGCAGGGUCCUGCUCUGUCACCCAGGCUGGAGUGAAGUGGUAUGAUUUCUGCUCACUGCAGCCUUGACCUCGUGGGCCCAAGUGAUCCUCCUGCCUCAGCCUCCUGCAGAGUCGGGACCACAGGCUUGUGUCACCACACCUGCUCAUUUUUUUCAUUUUCAAUAGAGAUGAGGUCUCUACUAUGUUGCCCACAGUAGUCUUUAACUCCUGGGCUCAAGUGAUCCUCUGGCCUCAGCCUCCCAAAGUCCUGGGAUUGCAGGUGUGAGCCACCAUGCCCGGCCUUAAAUCACAAAUUUCUGUAUGUUCUCUCCAAAAGCAAGCAAAAGGAAAUAAAAUGCUAUAAAUACAAGGA